GUUACCCAGCAAAUUAAAUAUUUAGAACAGCCAUUAAUUUUACAAAUUUUCGCGAGAGACGUCAUUUAUGCCAUGUGUUUGCCACGUAAUAAAGCGAGAAAAGCUCUUUAUUAUUGAAAUUACGGCAGGCGACAGCAGGAAGAGAGAGAAAAUGUCUCGCGUGGAUCCACCCCGCUCGCUCGUACCUAGCCCGGCAAACACGCCGCACCGCACUUCCCGGAUUGUUUUAGGGUGCGCCAAAAAGCCGGGGAAACCGCCAGUCGAAGCUCAACCGGACGCUAGAAAUUAUUUAUGCUGGGACACGCCUGCCAACGCACGCGCACGUCGUGUACAUCCCCCUGUCGUUCCAGCACCGCGACGCAGCGAAUCUGAAGGAGCCUCGAAAUGCCACAGUGCGAUGUCUUGGAGUAGCAAAGAUGUGGGUGCACUGCCUCCUUGGAUAUCCGCUGUGGACCCACUCCAGCUUUAGGAAUAGCAAUAUCCUACACUGGAACAACCUGUGAUAGUGUGAAAUUGUAUCACCGCUGGAAAUUAUCAGUACCGAACCAACAACAACGAGACAAAAAAGCGAUAAAUGAAGCAUAUAAAACAAAUUUUGGUCGACCGCCAGUCAUUGCGCCGGGGAGCCGAACACCCUCACAACGUCCUCCAUAGAGCGCAGCUGGAACACCUGCGCGCCGUCGCCUCUACGAGCGAAAACGCGGCCCCUCCUAGUCCAAGUGUACUUCCACUGGAGACGACGGCACUCCUCCCGAACCCGGUGAAAGAGCUGGCGAUUCAGCCGGGUCAGGCGCUCAUUGAUGAAAACUCUCGCUCCACCCUCGCCGGUGUUUAACUAUUGUUUUUGUGAUUAUAAAUUAAUUUCGUG